rnacentral:rRNA from 1 species
GAUGAACGCUGGCGGCGUGCCUAAUACAUGCAAGUAGAACGCUGAAGGAAGGCGCUUGCUCUUUCCGGAUGAGUUGCGAACGGGUGAGUAACGCGUAGGUAACCUGCCUGGUAGCGGGGGAUCACUAUUGGAAACGAUAGCUAAUACCGCAUAACAGUAGAUGUUGCAUGAUAUCUACUUAAAAGGUGCAAUUGCACCACUACCAGAUGGACCUGCGUUGUAUUAGCUAGUUGGUGAGGUAACGGCUCACCAAGGCGACGAUACAUAGCCGACCUGAGAGGGUGAUCGGCCACACUGGGACGGGGACACGGCCCAGACGCCUACGGGAUGCAGCAGUGGGGAAUCUGCGGCAAUGGACGGAAGUCUAACGGAGCAACGCCGCGUGAGUGAUGAAGGAUUUCGGAUCGUAAAGCGCUGUUGUAAGAGAAGAACGAGUGUGAGAGUGGAAAGUUCACACUGUGACGGUAUCUUACCAGAAAGGGACGGCUAACUACGUG